GCCAGGUGCAAUGGCCCACACCUGUAAUCCCAGCAGCUCAGGAGGCUGAGGCAGGAGGACUGCAAGUUUGAGGACAGCCUCAGCAAUUUGGCCAAGCUCUAAGCAACUUAGUGAGACCCUGUCUCAA
rnacentral:sRNA from 1 species